rnacentral:sRNA from 1 species
AAAGGAACCGGAAACUGGAUGGGGAGCUGGACCAGGUGCCCUUUGGGGAAGUAAGCAUGGUCCGGGACUGGUUGGGCAUUGUGGGGCCUGUGCUGACCCCUCCCCAAGAGCAUCCUAAACGACCAGUGCUGGGACUGGAGUGCCCACAGUCAGAAGUGAGUGGUGCCCGAUUCUGGGGCUUUUUCCGGAACCUCUGUGGACAGCCUGAGGUCUUCUUCCAUCACUGUUUUGUCCACAAUCUAUGCCCUCUGCUUUUCCUGGCUCCCAGCGGGCGCAACCUUACUCCUGCUGAGCUGCCUGCCAAGCAGCGAGAACAGCUUCUUGGGAUCUGUGAUGCAGCCCUCUGCCGGCAGGUGCAGCUACUGGGGGUGCGGCUGGUGGUGGGAGUUGGGCGACUGGCAGAGCAGCGGGCACGACGGGCUCUGGCAGGCCUGAUGCCAGAGGUCCAGGUGGAAGGGCUCCUGCAUCCCUCUCCCCGUAACCCACAGGCCAACAAGGGCUGGGAGGCAGUGGCCAAGGAAAGAUUGAAUAAGCUGGGGCUGCUGCCACUGCUGUUGAAAU